AGAGCGGCGAACGGGUGAGUAAUGCAUGGGGAAUCUGCCUCUAAGUUGGGAAUAGCCUUUGGAAACGAAGGGUAAUGCCGGAUGUGAUCGUCUACCGCAUGGUAGACUGUUUAAAAGCUGGGAUCUUCGGACCAGUUGCUUAGAGAUGACCCCAUGUCCUAUCAGCUAGUUGGUGAGGUAAUGGCUCACCAAGGCUUACGGGUAGCCGGCCUGAGAGGGUGAUCGGCCACACUGGGACUGAGAACUGCCCAGACUCCUACGGGAGGCUGCAGUCGAGAAUCAUUCACAAUGCGCGAAAGCGUGAUGAUGCGACGCCGCGUGGAGGAAGACGGUCUUCGGAUUGUAAACUCCUGUCAGCAGGGAAGAAUAAUACAUCGUUUAAUAGAGGAUGUAUUUGACGGUACCUGCAGAGGAAGUCACGGCUAACUCUGUGCCAGCAGCCGCGGUAAUACAGAGGUGGCGAACGUUGUUCGGAUUUACUGGGCGUAAAGGGUCCGCAGGCGGAUCGGUAUGUCGGAUGUGAAAGCUCACAGCUCAACUGUGGAACUGCAUUCGAAACUGCCGAUCUAGAGUACUGGAGGGGAGAAGGGAAUUCUUGGUGUAGCGGUGAAAUGCGUAGAUAUCAAGAAGAACACCGGUGGCGAAGGCGCUUCUCUGGACAGAUACUGACGCUCAUGGACGAAAGUUAGGGUAGCGAAAGGGAUUAGAUACCCCUGUAGUCCUAACCGUAAACGGUGUGCACUAGUCGUGGGUGGUUUACCCCCAUCCGUGACUGAGCUAACGCAUUAAGUGCACCGCCUGGGGAGUACGGUCGCAAGAUUAAAACUCAAAGGAAUUGACGGGGACCCGCACAAGCGGUGGAGCAUGUGGCUUAAUUCGAUGCAACGCGAAGAACCUUACCUGGACUUGACAUAUAGCUGCAUCCGACCCGAAAGGGACGGAGCCUUCGAGGGUGCUGUACAGGUGCUGCAUGGCUGUCGUCAGCUCGUGCCGUGAGGUGUUGGGUUAAGUCCCGCAACGAGCGCAACCCCUGUGUUUAGUUGCCAUCAUUUAGUUGGGCACUCUAGACAGACUGCUGGUGAAAGCCAGAGGAAGGUGGGGAUGACGUCAAGUCAGUAUGGUCCUUAUGUCCAGGGCUGCACACGUGCUACAAUGGGCAGUACAGAGGGAAGCCAAGCCGCGAGGUGGAGCAAAUCCCCAAAACUGUCCCCAGUUCGGAUUGGAUUCUGAAACUCGACUCCAUGAAGUUGGAAUCGCUAGUAAAGGCGUAUCAGCUACGACGCCUUGAAUACGUUCCCGGGUCUUGUACACACCGCCCUUCACAUCAUGGAAGUCUGUUGCACCCAAAGUCGCUGAUCUAACCUGUUUACAGGAAGAAGGCGCCUAAGGUGUGACCGGUAACUAGGAUGAAGCCGGAACAAGGUA
rnacentral:rRNA from 1 species